rnacentral:lncRNA from 1 species
AACUUAAAGUGAAACUUAUAUACAUAACUGCCUUAAAAGGGAGUACAAACAUCGGAUAUACAAAGGUUCUCAAUCCUUCAUACAUCCAGCCUGUGCCGAAAGGUAGGGCGAGAACCAUUACAAAAAUUUAAAACUAGUCUAGGCUAGUCUAUACCGAGCUCUCGUCUUGGCUCGCCGUCCCCUGUUAAGGAAAACAAAACUAAAGGAAUGAGCUAAAAGCUCAGUGAGGUUCCGAACACAUAAUCAAAUAAUCAAUCCAAUACAUUAAACAUAGAGUAUCAAUAGUUCAAGAAAUAUUUACAAUGGAAAGCGAUAAUAACACAUUCAUUAAAAGGAUACGGGCUCACAAGGAGCCAUUCGUUCGUUCGUUCGUUCAUUCUCCUGUCAUUCCCCUUAUUUCUCCAAUUAUUUGAAAAUGCAUUUUUGUAAGUAAAACCCUCGUUUGCAUUGACAUUCGUUCGUUCAUUUCAUUCACCCCUUCCUGGACGUUGGCCAGGCUCCACCCGACAACAAGGUAAUACUCGAGUAUACCAAACGUUCACACCCAGGGUCACCAUAUCGCCCGACCGAGUCCGCUUUUGGCUCGAGUCGAUCGGUAAUGAAGGGCAGGGCCCAGUUCAGCCAAAAGGCUUACAUCAUGCGCAACUAGCAUUUCAUUAUUUAAUCAUUGAAAAUUUCACAUUCAUUUAGGUCGAGUGCGAUAAAGUGCACACUCGCCUAGAAAACUCAUUUAAAGCAAUCAUUGAAAACAUUUAACAUGUUAUCAUUCGUUCAUAACAAAUCAUAUAAUCAAGAACAAGCCACAUAGUCAAUGAAAAUAUAACAAACAAGGAACACUCACCUAUUUACGCAAAAUAACGUCCAAAAUAUCCUUCUGGAUAACACCCUCAAUCAUCAAGGAAUCCUAAUAUAAUAAAAAGAACACAUUAUGUUUCAACCAUCAAAGAUGUAAGUGAUUCAAAGAAAAUUCGAAUACGUACUAGUACAAAGUAUAAAUAUGGUUUUGGUAGUGAAAAGAGUACAUUUAAACCAAAGGACAUAAGUAAAAUAUUUGUAAAACUUAUACUCACGUGUAAAACUUUAAAAUCGCUAGUUGAGUCGAAGUGGCAAAGAAAACAUAAAUACCCUAGAUGGUUCACGUGGUAUUCGCUCUCGAGCCUUACUCAAGUGGCAAGUAUAUCGACCUAGUUCUCGAGCGUAAAUUUGGGCAGCACGCCCUUUGUAUUUACCUAUUUUCCAGCCAUUUAUGGCUUCAUUCUUUUCCUCAAUCAAACCCAAAGUCAUACACAAAAUCAUCUCAUUUCAAUAGCCAUUCCAUAGGCUCCAAGUCAUACAAGUACACAAUCAAGCUAGGAGCAUGUGCGGAAAUAAAGUUUAGCAAAAGACAGAUUUGAUGUUGUUUUGCGUAACGGACACAACCGAAGCUACGCUU